rnacentral:piRNA from 1 species
GUUUUUAUGUUUUAAUAUUAGGGGAGUAG